AGUUCUCUGGAGGAGAAACUGUAGAGCCGUCUGGACUUCUUGCCUAGGUGUGUGUAGAGGGUACUAUGGACUUCUUGCCUAGGUUUGUGUGGAGAAGAGAGUCAAGCAGUACUUGAGUGAUUUGAAUUUUUGUUGAGAAAAACAAAGUGAAAAAAAAUUUUUUGACAUCAGAUAUGUUGUUUUAACCUCCGGGGCAGAUUUUAUUUUUCUCUUUUACUUUUUGUUUUUAUCCUUUUGUACUAUUUUUAAAGACAGGAAUGAGAAGAAAUUAUCCCUGGACCAUUCCUCCCAGUGAAAAACAUGAAAUGUGACUAUCCGGAAAUGGAGUGUGAUCACAGGGGCAUGUAUGGCUGAGUCAUCCAAAAUGCUGACUGUCGUGUAGGGCUCUGUGGUUUUGGUGGGUUUCUUACCUGCUCUGUGCUCUGGUUACUUCAUCAAUGUGAUGGAGAUGAUAAUCUCAUUGGAUGUUGUGAUUUACUGAGAUCAUUCUUGUUAAUUCUUAGAAUAGUCCCUGGUACACAGCAAGCGGUUCAUGAUUGUUAUUGUGUGAUUAUAUCCAGAUUCUAUUAUGUCAUGUUACUAUGCUAUCGAAGAUUCGAGUUCCUUGGUGCACUGAUAUGAUCUUUGAAACUCAGAGCAAAUGUUACCUGGGCCAAUGUUACAUGAAUAUUUGGCCAUUAAGGUCAGACAAAGAAGCCAACCUAGCCAGUUACUCUUUCACUGAAGUAUGGUUUGUCUGCCAUUGUCAUUGGGAGCGCAUAGAACCUCCUCAAGCUGAGUGGGCAGGGCCCGUGUGGCUGUCCGAAGGGCGUCUUGUGUAGCUGCUCCCGUGUUGAGAAUAUAGCACUUUGAAAACAGCCUUGGCAAGAACCACCCUUGCUGUUCACCAGCUCGUCCACUAACCAGCUGUGUAUACCCUAGGUCAGGCCAGCUGUUUA